rnacentral:lncRNA from 1 species
AGGUCUGUGGCGUAUUUACUUUCGUCAAAGAGCAUGGAGGUAUAGCUACAGAUGAAUUCUACCCUUAUGUAGAUAAAAGGGAAAUAUGCCAUACAUCUAAGUAUGGUCAUCACUCGUUGAUGGAUCUGAGUAAUUGUCAGAACACCAUGAAGAAGCGCUAUUGAAAGCAGUGGCACAUCAGCCUCUAACUUUUCAAAUGGAUCCUGGUGGUGACGGUUUCAUGUUCUACAAAGAGGGAAUUUUUAGUGGACCAUGUGGAAUGGAGCUGAUGCACGCGAUGUUGAUAGUUGGAUACGAUCAAGGAUCCUGA